GAGAACCGUGGUGACGUCACGAGAGUCACUAGUGAUCACCUCAUUCGACUUUGUGAUAAUGAGCAGGUUGUUGCUCUUUAAAAGCCAUUUCGUUUGAUAUGCAUGUCGGCAGGUUAGGAGAGUGCAUGGUUGGGUGAGAACCGUGGUGACGUCACGUGCGUCACUAGUGAUCACCUCAUUCGACUUUGCGAUAAUGAGCAGGUUGUUGCUCUUCAAAAGCCAUUUCGUUUGAUAUGCAUGUCGGCAGGUUAGGAGAGUGCAUGGUUGGGUGAGUACCAUGAUGAUGUCAUGGGAGUCACUAGUGAUCACGUCAUUGGCUGGGUGAUGGUGAGCCGGUUAUUACCCUUUAUAAGCCACUUCGUUUGAUAUGCAUGCCGGCAGUUUAUGAUAGUGCAUGCGUGAGAAGCGUGGUGACGU
rnacentral:lncRNA from 1 species